AAAACACAAAGUCACAAAUGGGCAAAUAAAUUAGGAGUGGGGAAGGAGAAGGGUUAGGUUGGGGGGGAAUUACUGAUAGAAGCAGAAGAGAAGGAACUUGAGAAGAGCCGGAGGGGGAGACUGAGACCUACUGGAAGUUGUGGGCAUGAGGUGUUUGGCAAGAAAAUGGAUCUUUUCCUUGUGAUGAUUUCUUACCAAUACCUCUCAUGCCAAUGAUUUCCAGCAGUUCCUCCCUUUCCCUUCUUUCUCCACUUUGUUAUCAGAUGCCACCUCUUCGCUUUUCAUGGAGUGUUAUAAGAGCCGACUCGAGCUGGCGGGUCAAUUCGGUAACCCAUUGAUUCGGGACUUGAUCCGAGGUGAUUCGGGACUCGAACUUGCGGGUCCUCCUUCCCUUCUCUCAUCCAGCUUCCCCUUCAGCUCUUCAUGUUCUCUCCUCUCUUGUUUUGUCGCUUCCUUUUCCUCUAUGGUUGACGUUUUCCUUGCGACAAGAAUGAACGUCGUCUGAGCAUGCCUUACAAUCCAGAACAAGUUAGAGAUGUAGUUCUUUUCCUGCAAAUAAAAACUAGAUUUUGUUGGCAA